rnacentral:rRNA from 1 species
GAUGAACGCUGGCGGCGUGCCUAAUACAUGCAAGUCGAGCGAACAGAUGAGGAGCUUGCUCCUCUGACGUUAGCGGCGGACGGGUGAGUAACACGUGGAUAACCUACCUAUAAGACUGGGAUAACUUCGGGAGACCGGAGCUAAUACCGGAUAAUAUAUUGAACCGCAUGGUUCAAUAGUGAAAGACGGUUUUGCUGUCACUUAUAGAUGGAUCCGCGCCGCAUUAGCUAGUUGGUAAGGUAACGGCUUACCAAGGCAACGAUGCGUAGCCGACCUGAGAGGGUGAUCGGCCACACUGGAACUGAGACACGGUCCAGACUCCUACGGGAGGCAGCAGUAGGGAAUCUUCCGCAAUGGGCGAAAGCUUGACGGAGCAACGCCGCGUGAGUGAUGAAGGUCUUCGGAUCGUAAAACUCUGUUAUUAGGGAAGAACAAAUGUGUAAGUAACUAUGCACGUCUUGACUGUACCUAAUCAGAAAGCCACGGCUAACUACGUG